GAUAAACGCUGGCGGCGUGCUUAACACAUGCAAGUCGAACGGAAAGGCUCCUGCUUGCAGGGGUACUCGAGUGGCGAACGGGUGAGUAACACGUGGGUGAUCUGCCCUGCACUUCGGGAUAAGCCUGGGAAACUGGGUCUAAUACCGGAUAGGACCACAUUUUGGAUGGUGUGGUGGAAAGUUUUUCGGUGUGGGAUGAGCUCGCGGCCUAUCAGCUUGUUGGUGGGGUAAUGGCCUACCAAGGCGUCGACGGGUAGCCGGCCUGAGAGGGUGUACGGCCACAUUGGGACUGAGAUACGGCCCAGACUCCUACGGGAGGCAGCAGUGGGGAAUAUUGCACAAUGGGCGCAAGCCUGAUGCAGCGACGCCGCGUGGGGGAUGACGGCCUUCGGGUUGUAAACUCCUUUCGCUAGGAACGAAGCGUUUUUGUGACGGUACCUGGAGAAGAAGCACCGGCUAACUACGUG
rnacentral:rRNA from 1 species